rnacentral:rRNA from 1 species
AUGAACGCUGGCGGCGUGCCUCAUACAUGCAAGUCGAGCGAACGGACGAGAAGCUUGCUUCUCUGAUGUUAGCGGCGGACGGGUGAGUAACACGUGGAUAACCUACCUAUAAGACUGGGAUAACUUCGGGAAACCGGAGCUAAUACCGGAUAAUAUUUUGAACCGCAUGGUUCAAAAGUGAAAGACGGUCUUGCUGUCACUUAUAGAUGGAUCCGCGCUGCAUUAGCUAGUUGGUAAGGUAACGGCUUACCAAGGCAACGAUGCAUAGCCGACCUGAGAGGGUGAUCGGCCACACUGGAACUGAGACACGGUCCAGACUCCUACGGGAGGCAGCAGUAGGGAAUCUUCCGCAAUGGGCGAAAGCCUGACGGAGCAACGCCGCGUGAGUGAUGAAGGUCUUCGGAUCGUAAAACUCUGUUAUUAGGGAAGAACAUAUGUGUAAGUAACUGUGCACAUCUUGACGGUACGUAAUCAGAAAGCCACGGCUAACUACGUG